GUGUGCUUAGCUUAGCUUAGCAUACUGUCGAUUUCGCUAUGGACGCCGGGGAUGAGUUUUGAACGAGCAUUGCCCGUUGCCUUGCGCUAGAACGCUGAUAGUGGUCAUGGCGCAUUGACUCUCUCUGCAUCCUCCAACCCGCUGAAGACCUUCCCUUUGACAUCCACACCAGUGAAAACCUUUCCCUCGGACCAAGGACUAUCGACAUCGUGCCCCGACACACCUGGGACCCUUGAUUCAAGUUUUAGCACUGUGGGUGAAGCAGAC